UUCUUACAUUUAAUUCAACCCUUUUUUUUUCUAUUGUUCUAUUUGAUUUGAAUUCACCGUUGUACUGUAACUGAAAAGGGGGCUUUUUAUAUAUGAUAUAAAAUAUAUAUAGGGUCGCCUUUACGCAAUCGACCGGAUUACAGUAACCGUUCGUUAUGCCAAACAAU
rnacentral:tRNA from 1 species